rnacentral:miRNA from 1 species
UUCAGACCUGGACGUGGCUGUU